CGGAGGGUGCAAGCGUUAUCCGGAUUCACUGGGUUUAAAGGGUGCGUAGGCGGAUAGGUAAGUCCGUGGUGAAAUCCUGCAGCUUAACUGCAGAACUGCCGUGGAUACUAUUUAUCUUGAAUAUCGUGGAGGUUAGCAGAAUAUGUCAUGUAGCGGUGAAAUGCUUAGAUAUGACAUAGAAUACCCAUUGCGAAGGCAGCUAACUACGCGAUCAUUGACGCUGAGGCACGAAAGCGUGGGGAUCAAACAGGAUUAGAUACCCUGGUAGUCCACGCCCUAAACGAUGAUUACUCGACAUUGGUGAUACACAGUCAGUGUCUGAGCGAAAGCAUUAAGUAAUCCACCUGGGAAGUACGAUCGCAAGAUUG
rnacentral:rRNA from 1 species